rnacentral:rRNA from 1 species
AUUGAACGCUGGCGGCAGGCCUAACACAUGCAAGUCGAGCGGAUGAAGGGAGCUUGCUCCUGGAUUCAGCGGCGGACGGGUGAGUAAUGCCUAGGAAUCUGCCUGGUAGUGGGGGAUAACGUCCGGAAACGGGCGCUAAUACCGCAUACGUCCUGAGGGAGAAAGUGGGGGAUCUUCGGACCUCACGCUAUCAGAUGAGCCUAGGUCGGAUUAGCUAGUUGGUGGGGUAAAGGCCUACCAAGGCGACGAUCCGUAACUGGUCUGAGAGGAUGAUCAGUCACACUGGAACUGAGACACGGUCCAGACUCCUACGGGAGGCAGCAGUGGGGAAUAUUGGACAAUGGGCGAAAGCCUGAUCCAGCCAUGCCGCGUGUGUGAAGAAGGUCUUCGGAUUGUAAAGCACUUUAAGUUGGGAGGAAGGGCAGUAAGUUAAUACCUUGC